AGAGUUUGAUCCUGGCUCAGGAUGAACGCUGGCGGCGUGCUUAACACAUGCAAGUCGAACGGACCUUUUCGGAGGUUAGUGGCGGACGGGUGAGUAACGCGUGAGGAUCUGCCCUUAGAUGGGGGACAACAGUUGGAAACGACUGCUAAUACCGCAUGAGCCGAGAGGUAAAAGAUAAAUUGUCUAGGGAUGAACUCGCGUCUGAUUAGCUAGUUGGUGAGGUAAAGGCUUACCAAGGCGACGAUCAGUAGCUGGUCUGAGAGGAUGAUCAGCCACACUGGGACUGAGACACGGCCCAGACUCCUACGGGAGGCAGCAGUGGGGAAUUUUCCGCAAUGGGCGAAAGCCUGACGGAGCAACGCCGCGUGAGGGAAGAAUGGUUGUGGGCAGUAAACCUCUUUUAAUAGGGAAGAAGUUCUGACGGUACCUAUUGAAUAAGCAUCGGCUAACUCCGUGCCAGCAGCCGCGGUAAUACGGAGGAUGCAAGCGUUAUCCGGAAUUAUUGGGCGUAAAGGGUCCGCAGGUGGUUAGUCAAGUCAGCUGUCAAAUACUCAGGCUUAACUUGGGGGUUGCAGUUGAAACUGAUUGACUAGAGUACGGAAGGGGUAGAGGGAAUUCCUAGUGUAGCGGUGAAUUGCGUAGAUUUUAGGAAGAACACCCAGGGGGGAGGGCGCUUAUCGACCGUACUGACAUGAGGGACGAAGCUAGGGGAGCGAAGGAUUAGAUACCCCGUAGUCCUAGCUUAAACGAUGGUACUAGGUUUGGACGUAUCGACCCGUCAGUAUCGUAGCUAACGCGUAAGUAUCCCGCCUGGGGAGUACGCACGCAAGUGUGAAACUCAAAGGAAUUGACGGGGGCCCGCACAAGCGGUGGAGUAUGUGGUUUAAUUCGAUGCAACGCGAAGAACCUUACCAGGGUUUGACAUCCUACGAAUUUUCCAGAGAUGGAUUAGUGCCUUCGGGAACGUAGAGACAGGUGGUGCAUGGCUGUCGUCAGCUCGUGUCGUGAGAUGUUGGGUUAAGUCCCGCAACGAGCGCAACCCACGUUUUUAGUUGCCAUCAUUAAGUUGGGCACUCUAGAGAGACUGCCGGUGACAAACCGGAGGAAGGUGUGGACGACGUCAAGUCAUCAUGCCCCUUACACCCUGGGCUACACACGUACUACAAUGCAACGGACAAAGGGCAGCCAGCUAGUGAUAGUGAGCAAAUCUCAUAAACCGUUGCACAGUUCAGAUUGUAGGCUGCAACUCGCCUACAUGAAGGAGGAAUCGCUAGUAAUCGCGGGUCAGCAUACUGCGGUGAAUACGUUCCCGGGCCUUGUACACACCGCCCGUCACACCAUGGAAGUUGGUUUCGCCCGAAGCCGUUACUCCAACCAUUCGUGGAGGAGGACGUCGAAGGCAGGGCUGAUGACUGGGGUGAAGUCGUAACAAGGUAGCCGUA
rnacentral:rRNA from 1 species